rnacentral:rRNA from 1 species
CCCAGACUCCUACGGGAGGCAGCAGUGGGGAAUAUUGCACAAUGGGGGGAACCCUGAUGCAGCGACGCCGCGUGAACGAAGAAGGCUCUUGGGUCGUAAAGUUCUGUUCUGAGGGAAGAAGAAAGUGACGGUACCUCAGGAGAAAGCCCCGGCUAACUACGUGCCAGCAGCCGCGGUAAUACGUAGGGGGCAAGCGUUAUCCGGAUUUACUGGGUGUAAAGGGGGCGCAGACGGCGAUGCAAGCCAGGAGUGAAAGCCCGGGGCCCAACCCCGGGACUGCUCUUGGAACUGCGUGGCUAGAGUGCAGGAGGGGCAGGCGGAAUUCCUGGUGUAGCGGUGAAAUGCGUAGAUAUCAGGAGGAACACCGGUGGCGAAGGCGGCCUGCUGGACUGCAACUGACGUUGAGGCCCGAAAGCGUGGGGAGCAAACAGGAUUAGAUACCCCUGUAA